GUCACGUGACAAGUCAGUACACUUAGGACCUCUACGUCUUGUUGUCAUCACUAACCCGUGAAAUCUUCACCACUUAAAGUAAAAGAAGAUGUCUUUAAGUUGUGAUGAGCUGCAGGAUGUGAAACAGAGACUGAGCAGUUGUAUCGAUGACUCGACAGUGAAGCUGCGCAGACUCAGUGAGGACAUCUGGAGCUGUGCAGAGCUCGCAUAUCAGGAGCACAAGUCUCAUGACAGGCUGGUGGAGUUCUUCACUCAGGAAACAGGCUGGAAGGUCGACGCUCACUUCAAGCUUCCCACCGCUUUUAGAGCCACAUGGACACCUGCGGGCAGCAAUCACGGUCACGUGGUCAACGUGGGCUUCCUGUGCGAGUACGACGCCCUGCCGGGGAUCGGACACGCGUGUGGACACAACCUGAUAGCUGAGGUCGGAGCUGCUGCGGCUGUGGGGUUCAAAGAUGUGCUGGAGAACACCCAGGACCUCCCAGUACAGGUCAAGGUGACAGUUCUGGGGACUCCAGCUGAGGAGGAUGGUGGAGGGAAAAUAGACCUGUUAAAUGAGGGGGCUUUUGAUAACAUGGACGUAGUGUUCAUGGCUCACCCCCUGCAGGAUGACGCUCCCUAUCUCCCCCUAGUGGCUGAACAUGACGUCAUUAUAAAGUAUCACGGGAAGGCGUCUCACGCCUCGGCCUACCCCUGGGAGGGAGUGAAUGCUCUGGACGCGGCGGUGCUGUGCUACAACAGUCUGUCUGUGCUCAGACAGCAGAUGAAGCCGGACUGGAGAGUUCACGGUAUCAUAAAGCACGGAGGAGAGAAACCCAACAUCAUCCCUGCCUUCACUCAGCUGGAGUACUAUCUGAGGACUCCAUCCCGGGCCGAGCUUCUUCUCCUGAAAUCCAAAGCUGAGGGGUGUUUCAGAGCAGCUGCUGAGGCCACUGGAUGUCGGGUUGAAGUGGAGUAUUCGAAAAAUGCUUUUGACAACAUAUUGAGGAAUAAAACUCUGGAGGAUUUGUACGAGAACAAUGGAAAGGCUCUGGGGAUGGAGUUCACCACGGAUGAAGAAGUCCUGAACAACGCUUCUGGCUCCACAGACUUUGGAAACGUGACGUUUGUUGUUCCUGGGAUCCAUCCGUACUUCUACAUCGGCUCUAAGGCUCUGAACCACACAGAGGAGUACACCGUGGCCUCUGGCGAUGACAGAGCUCAGUUCUUCACCCUGCGGACGGCGAAGGCUCUGGCCAUGACGGCUCUGGAUGUGCUGCUGCGACCCGAGCUGCUGCAGAGGGUGAAGCAGGAGUUCACUGAGGCCAAAGAGAAGGAGGAGAGGACACUGAGAGGAGGGCACACGGAGCAGACAUGAGGAGGACGAGGAGCUGCUCAAUCGAUAGGAUGCAGGGAAAAUCAAAGUUCUGAUUGGCACCGCUGUGCCCCCCGGGGGUCUGAAGAGGAGGCAGAUGGCCAGCUGUUAAAUCUCUGCCAGGCUCUGUAACGUGGAUUACUGAUUCAACUCUCUUGGCUCCGAGCCUCCUAUCGCUCACCAAAAUUACAAGUUCCUGCACGGGGGUAUUAGCGCUCAUAAUUGGCAGAACUUUAUCCCCUUAAAUUCAAGUCUUGUACUGUGGCAGCUGGAGCCACUUUGUCCUGGCCCUGACCACCCACUAACAUCAUAACCUGCCCCACUGACUAAGUAGGACGUUUACUUUAUGUGUCUUUCCGCUAAGAUACUCUGCAGUGUUUCCUGUGCUAAUUUGGUUUUGGGGACCAACACCCCGAGGAGACCACCACCCUUACAAAAGAAAGGCAGACAACAUUUUAUUUAUGGAGUUGUUUUAUUCCAUCAGAGCAUGAACGUCUUUUCCCCCUCCUGUUCAUCCAAUUGAGAAAUACAUUUCCUCAAUGCCGGUGUUAUGCUGAUAAAUGCUUCCCUGCUUAGAAUUGCAUGCGACUCCCAAGACAAUUUAAAAUAUCCCAGACAGAAUUUCUACACUGCCGAAUUUUGCAUCCACCCUUUGAUUUCCUCUACAGACACUUGAGAGUCUAACACUGUUUCCAGGUCAUUUUUACGCCGGCUGAGGAAAAUGCGUCUUCUACCGAGUCGACAGACUAAUAAGGACACUUUACAAAGGGUGACUAUAUGUCUCGAUUUGACCGGGACCGUCCUGAUUUCAAGCUCCACGUCUCGAGUCCCCACAAAUGUCUAUAAAACACUAAUAUGUCCCGGGAUUAAACAUUCCCUGUCCCAGUUUGAACCAACCACAACAAUGCACCAUGCUUGCAAAACUGUUCUGUCUCUAUAUAUGUCAAUCAAUGUCGUUGCCAAGGCUGUUGCUGUUCUAACCAGUAGAAAAACAUCACUAAUGCACUGUGAGUCAAAGCUCAAUACUGAUGUGUCUGUUGAGUGUCAAUUAUCCUCGGGGUUGAGGCUGCUGCUCAUUAAACACAUCUAAUCAUAUUCACAGGUCCGUAGGCUCGCUGUGAAACUAAAAAGGAAGUCAGCGUUUUCCAAAGAGGCAGUGAAUAUGCUUUUCGCAAUGUCAACAUUGGAAAUGUGGACAUACAAAGCCAUAUUAAAACAAGCGAAUACAAACAGUGGGUACAGGCUUGAAGUAGCACUGUUGCGUCCUACUUCAGUGCGGCAAACGCUGGUUACAACCAGCUUGAACAAACUGCUCAGGAGGAAACCUUUACCUACCACCUUGAGUGACCAUUGCAGGUCACCAAUCUAUGGGUUGAUACAACACAUAUACCAUAUUGUCCCCCAGCAGGAAAUCUAUUGUCACAGCUUGUACAGUUGGUACAUGGAUACACAUGUAUUUAUAUGGGUAAGCAUGUUAGUCAAGGAUAGCAGCCAAUACAACAGUCAAUGUGGGAGUUUGAUAAGUGCUUCAAUAGCCAAGGGGACAAAACUCUUUUUGUAACAUUCCCUAUCCAGGUCAGAGUCCUAUAUCUCUGACCUGGUUGGACUGAGUGGAUGAGAGGUGUCCUGGUGAGUGUGCCAGGACGUUGUGGGUUUGUGCGUUAAAAUUAAAGUGUCCCAAUUUGGAGGUUUGAAAAUAUGGUCAGCCUAACUUAACGUUUAAGUGUAAACUUCAGAUACUUUGUCAUCACGGAUCUGCCCCCAGAAAAACAAUAUAUACUGUUUUUAAAUUUUCUGUGAGCUGCAUGCAACCUGGGCAUAUCCCUGGUACGAUUUCCAACUUGUGAUUUGGUCAACAGCCUACAUCCUGCAGGUAGAUUUGCCCUGAGCCCGCCCCUUGUUGACGAUGUUUUUAAGAUACGGACUACGCACACUAUUGUUAGACUACAAGCCAACAAAACUGUCACGUCACAGAGAGUGAAUCAACUGUUUACAGCUCAUCCUAAUCCUUACAAACAGACAAAACUUCUAAAAGUUUCCUUGGACUCGUCAAGGAAUCGGUCUGUCUCUGCAUCUCUCGGUGCCAGAGAACACACAAACGCAAACGCACUAUUCAAUGCAAAGAAAACACUGACUCGCUUUUGUUAAAAUAAAUCACACACACACUGAAACACUUGCUAAAGCACUUUUCAGUUUUUGAUUGUGCCGGGUGGGAUCCCUUCAUCCCCCCAUUCGCAGUACAGUGAUAUCAAAGGAGAGGCGUCACUGGGGUAUAAAUAUGGCGCCUUGAACAGGCAGCCUGAACAGGGCUUCACCCUCAUUUAUCAUGAGGAACAAAAUCGUGUUCAGACAUUUUGAAUUGUGUUAAAAUUGUGUUCUAAACUAUUCUGUCAGACAUGAGUCAUGCAGAAAUAAACAGCUUUUCUCUGAAAGCAGCAUCACCUCCGGCGUAUUGUAUCGUUAGGUAUCUGAUAAGUGUUAUGGUAUCAUUUUUAGCUUUAUAAAGUAACAAAGCAGAGGCAACAUUAAAAUCUUCUUAUCCUAACUGUUUAAACGAGUGGUUCCCAACCUCGCUGGCUCGUGACCCCACUUUGACUUCACUAAACUCUGGUGACCCCAGACCUCCAAAAACACAAACAGUGUUUAGGUAAAAAAAAAUGUGUUUUCAAUCAUGCAAUAGCUGUUCUACUGUGUUGCAAGUAAACAUUUGUUGAGACCACAUUUAGGCUUUUAGGUGUGUAAUAUAGAUGACAGAGGAAGGAAGGCUGGGAGGACAUUUCUGCACAAUGGAUGACAGACAGAGCUAGUUUCUUGUUUUGACACUGGCCCACAGCAGCCCAUGUUAAAUGUAUCCAAUAUACAAUAUA